GCAGUGAUGGUUCAGUGGUAGAAUUCUUGCCUUCCAUGCAGGAGACCUGUGUUCAGUUUCUGCC
rnacentral:tRNA from 1 species